rnacentral:rRNA from 1 species
GUCUGGUGCCAGCAGCCGCGGUAAUUCCAGCUCCAAUAGCGUAUAUUAAAGUUGCUGCAGUUAAAAAGCUCGUAGUUGAAUUUCGGGGUCAAUAUGUUGGUCGUGCCUUGGUACGUACUAGCUUAUUGAUUUCUCCUUUCUGACGAACCAUGAUGUCAUUAAUUUGGUGUCAUGGGGAAUCAGGACUGUUACUUUGAAAAAAUUAGAGUGUUUAAAGCAGGCUCGCGCUUGAAUACAUUAGCAUGGAAUAAUGAAAUAGGACAUUUGAUUCUAUUUUGUUGGUUUCUAGGAUCGAUGUAAUGAUUAAUAGGGAUAGUUGGGGGCAUUAGUAUUCAAUUGUCAGAGGUGAAAUUCUUGGAUUUAUUGAAGACUAACUACUGCGAAAGCAUUUGCCAAGGAUGUUCUCAUUAAUCAAAAACGAAAGUUAGGGGAUCGAAGACGAUCAGAUACCGUCGUAGUCUUAACCAUAAACUAUGCCGACU